UACGUAGGGGGCAAGCGUUGUCCGGAUUUAUUGGGCGUAAAGAGCGUGUAGGCGGCUAGGUAGGUCCGUUGUGAAAACUCGAGGCUCAACCUCGAGCUGUCGAUGGAAACCAUCUGGCUAGAGUCCGGAAGAGGAGAGUGGAAUUCCUGGUGUAGCGGUGAAAUGCGCAGAUAUCAGGAAGAACACCCGUGGCGAAAGCGGCUCUCUGGCCCGGAUCUGACGCUGAGGUGCGAAAGCGUGGGGAGCAAACAGG
rnacentral:rRNA from 1 species